AGUCCUUUGGCAUCAACACAGAGAACAGCCAAAGGGCUGAUAGGAGCUUACCAUUUGAACUUUUGGCCAAAUCCAUCCUGGGAAGAGUGGCCUGGAUUCCAGAGUCUAGUGGCUUCACUGAACAACUGCCAGGAAGAAAGAUUGCUGGCCAUACUUAGGAGACUGAAUUGGAGAAAAGCCAUACUGGAGGCCUGGAGACCUCUUAAGAUGCCAUAGGAGUAAUCUAUGGUAGAGAUGUUGGUGAUCUGAACUGAGUCACAUAUGUUGAGGGAUGAGAACUGAGGCACUUGAGAGGUUGUUACUUGUCCAGAGUCAUGCAGCUGGAUAAUGUGAGAGUCUGCCUGCAGUUUCAGGGUCAAUGUUUCCAAAAGAUGACUAAGAACACACAUCUGGCGUCUGUACGUGCAAACUCGAGCGAUAAAGUACUGAAGAUGCGCCACUCAAAAACAAC